CCAGGGGAGCAGUAAAAUGCUAUAAUCCUGGGAGGACUACCGGUGGCGAAGGCGUCUAACCAGAACAGGUCCGACAGUGAGGAACGAAAGCUAGGGGAGCGAACCGGAUUAGAUACGGGAAAUCAGCCAAGCUGAUUUCUGGAGUUAUCUUGUAAUUCGUUUAUAAAAACUAUUAUGAGAUAUUGAAGGAAAUUGUCAUAAUGUUGAUUUACUCGCUAACUACCCGAGUAGUCCUAGCUGUAAACGCUGCGAGCAAGGUGUUGCAUAUUCUCCGUGAAUAUGCAGUGUCGAAAUGAAGAUGUUAAGCUCGCCGCCUGGGAAGUACGGUCGCAAGACUGAAACUUAAAGGAAUUGGCGGGGGAGCACUACAAGGGGUGCGGCGUGCGGUUUAAUCUAAUUCAACGCAGAAAAUCUCACCAAGGGCGACGGCAGGAUGAAGGUCAGGCUAAAGGUCUUACCAAACAAGCCGAGAGGUGGUGCAUGGCCGCCGUCAGCUCGUGCUGUGAAGUGUCCUCUUAAGUGAGGUAACGAGCGAGACCUGCACUCAUAAUUGCUAGCGAACUCUUUGAGGGAUCGAGCACAAUAUGAGGACUGCCUUGGAAACAAGGAGGAAGGUGCAGGCUACGGUAGGUCUGUAUGCCCCGAAUCCUUUGGGCUACACGCGCGCAACAAUGGUAGGGACAAUAGGAUAAGACUCUGAAAAGAGAAUUUAACCCUUUAAACCCUAUCCAAGUUCAGAUUGAGGGCUGUAACUCGCCCUCAUGACGAUGGAAUCCCUAGUAAUCGGAUGUCAUCAUCGUCCGGUGAA
rnacentral:rRNA from 1 species